rnacentral:rRNA from 1 species
UACGUAGGGUGCGAGCGUUAAUCGGAAUUACUGGGCGUAAAGCGUGCGCAGGCGGUUCGUUGUGUCGGCGGUGAAAGCCCCGGGCUUAACCUGGGAAUGGCCGUCGAAACUGGCGAACUGGAGUGUGGCAGAGGGGGGGUGGAAUUCCGCGUGUAGCAGUGAAAUGCGUAGAGAUGCGGAGGAACACCGAUGGCGAAGGCAGCAUCCUGGGAAGUUCCUGACGCUCGGGUGCGAAAGCCAGGGGAGCGAACGGG